GGGAGGCAAACUUUCCCUGUUCGAGGGUCGAGCUGUGGUGGUCAUUCAUCUCCAGGUCCUUGUCAUUCUUCAACCAGGUCACCUCAGGAAUUGGGUCUCCAAACACGGUGGACGUGAGGCUCAGUGUCUGGAGCACACAAAUCGAGACACCAGUUCUUGUGCUGUCUGUGAGGACCCUGUCAGCUGCAAGUGAUGGGCCGUUGACGUACCUGGUCUGGUGUGAACCAGCACGGGCUCUGAAGGCUCAGAUGGCUUCCCUGCUCCAUGCGAGUUCACUGCUCGUACUUUGAAAAUAUAUCUCUUCCCUUCCUCCAACUGAGUAACCUGGGAGAACAGCAGAGUGAAGUCAGUUAAUGAUACAGAAUGAACCAAACCUAUUGUGAUUAAAUCCAGAAGAGUAUAAAGUGAUCCAGAGAAGGUUUACGAGAACGAUCCUGGGAAUCAACUGGGUAACAUAUAAAGAGCAUUUGAUUAGUUUCGAUAUAUCUCCUUAUUGUGACAGAUGUAAUAAUGGAGAGACUUCAUUAAUUCAUAUGUUUUGGUCAUGUUCAAGGCUUGAAAAAUAUUGGAAAGGUGUAUUCCAAACUUCUUCUGUACUUUUCGAAGUUAAUUUUAAGACCAAUCCUUGUGACUGCCUUAUUUGGUAUCGUUGAGGAAAGGGCUAUAAUUUUGGAGCUUUCUCAUUUGCGGGUAUUGGCUUUUAUUUCUCUGAUGGCUAGGAGGGUGAUCUUGCUUAAAUGGAAGGAGGUUGCCCCCUACACACGCUCAAUGGUUAUGCGAUGUUAUGUCAUGUUCAAAUUUAGAGAAGAUUCGUUGUUCGAUUUCUGAUUCUAACCAAGAUUUUCAAAUGCUAUGAGGACCCUUUCUGAACUACUUUUAAAAUCUUUGAAUUGUUAUUGUUAUUAAAAUAUGGAUCUGGGCUAUUAUUAUAAAACACUAUAUGGUAAAGUACUCUUUUUUUCUCAUUUUUUUUAUCAACCAGCUUUGUCUUGAUAGAGAGUGUAGAUUAUUUUUAUAAUAUAAUUAACCAUAUUAUUGUAUUUCAUAAUUCAAUUCAUUUUAUUUGAUUGAUCAUGAAUAUGGGAUACUGUGAUUGUAUCAGUGUGAUUUAUAUAUAGUGCAUCUUGUGCUAUCUUAUUUUGAUUUAUAAUAAGUAUCCUUAUGAAUUCUGCAUUUGUGUAUAUGAAAUUUAAUAAAAAUAUUGGAAAGAUAGGUUCGUGUUAGUAAGGGUGUCAAAGGUUAUGGGGUAAAGGCAGAAAAAUGUGGUUGAGAUGAAAAAUAAAUUAAUCAUGAUCAAAUGGUAUAGCAGACUCAAUGGCAUUUUUCUGCUCCUAUAUCUUAUGGUCGCUGGAGAUCGAACCUGAAGGCAGAAUACAGGCUAGUGACAGAAUUCUUAACAGUGUGGUAGAACAGAGGGAUCUUGGGGGUCACAUCAACAGAUCUCUUAAAGUUGCCACAUAAAUUGAUAGGAUUGUUAAGAAAGCAUAUCAUGUGUUAGCAUUCAUUAUUUGGAAGUUUGAGUUCAUGAGCCACAAAGUAAUCUUGUUGCUCUAUAAAAGCUUGGUUUGACCACACUUGGAAUAUUGUGUUCAUUUCUGGUUGCCUCAUUAUUGGAAGGAUAUUCAAAUUUAAAAGUAAAUUUAUUUUCAAAGUACAUAUGCAUCACCAUAUACAACCCCCAAGAUUCAUUUUCUUGCAGGCACUCACAGUAAAUACAAGUAAACACAAGAGAAUCACUGAAAAACCUCACUCAACAUGAUGGAUAAACAACUGAUAUACAAAAGACCACAAACUGUAAAUACCAAAAAAAAGAAAAAAAAAUUAGAUCACUGUAGAAAUCUGUUUUCACUUUGACAUGAAAAAUUAUUUUUUGUUGAUCAAUGUCAAAAAAGCCAAAUGAAAUCCAUUGCGAUUCAAUGUUGUAAAACAUGAAAACUUCUAAGGGGGGGGUGAAUACUUUUUAUAGGCACUGUUUUUGCCGAUUCAUCACCACCUUUGAUUUGGCCUAUGGCUGUGGUGCCAUCAGCAAACUUAAAUAUGGCGUCAGCAAUCUUAAAUAUAGCAUCAGCAAUCUUAAAUAUGGAAGCUUUAGAGAAGGUACAGUGGAGAUUUACCAGGAUGGAUUAGAGAACAUGUCUUAUGAUGAAAGCUUGAGUAAGCUAGUACUUUUCUUUUGGAGCAAAGGAGGAUGCGAGGCAAAUUGACAGAGCUGUGCAAGAGGCAUAUAUAGAGUGGAUAGCCAGCAAUUUUCCCAGAGUGGCAAUGGCUAAAACCAGAAGACAUCUGUUGAAGUUGAGUGGAGGAAAGUUUAGUGGAGAUGUCAGAGGUAGGUGUUUUUUUUCCUGCACAGAGAGUGGUUGGAGCUCUGUGGGUGGGGGUACAGGGCAUAAUAUUAGGGAUAUUUAAGAGAUUUAAGGAUGUAAGAAAAAUAGAGUUCUAUGGGCUGUGUAGGAAGGAAGGAAUAGAUUCAUCAUGGGGUAGAUUUAUAUAGGUUGGCACAACGUCAUGGACCAAAAGACCUGUACGGUGUUGUUCUGUUCUAUAUUUUAUAUUGUAAUUAUUUUAUUUAAAUGGUAAUACAGACCAUACCAGGGUUUGUUUCGGAGUUCUGUCUGUAAAUUGAUAUCCGUGCAAGUCAGAAACAUCCGUUUUCUACGGUAACUCUUACUGCAUGUGUACUUUCUAAAGGUCUCUCAUUUCAUUGAAUAAUCACCACAACAGGACCGAUAAUUAAAUUGGCAACAUAUAUAAAAUGCUGGAGGAACUCAGCAGGCCAGGCAGCAUCUAUAGAAAGGAAUAAACAGCCGACGUUACGGGCCAAGACUCUUCAUCAGGACUCAAUUAAAUAAAUGGAAUGUAUACAACAUCCCAUCAUUUCCCAACACCAUGAAACAUUUUAUUUAUUCUUAUUGCUAGCUGGAAAACUGCUUUAAAAUAUACAGAGAUAAAAUAUAUUUUGUUGCUGAUUUUCUGCUGAACAUCCAAGAGCCUCUUAGACUGACACAUGGCUGCAAGAAAAAGAGGGUUAUGGGCUGUGUAGAAGGGAUGUAUUGGAUUCAUCCCGGGGUAGGUUUAUAUAGGACAUGCUCUGUUGGUGCCAGAAUGUGUGGCGACUCUUUCAGUCUGCUCCCAGUACAUCCAUAGGUUGU